rnacentral:rRNA from 1 species
GCUUAACACAUGCAAGUCGAGCGGUAACAUGACUAGUAGCAAUACUAGUUGAUGACGAGCGGCGGACGGGUGAGUAACACGUAGGAACUUGCCCAGUAGUGGGGGACAACCAAGGGAAACUUUGGCUAAUACCGCAUAUUCUCGAGAGAGGAAAGCUGCCGCAAGGUGGCGCUAGUGGAGAGGCCUGCGUCCGAUUAGCUAGUUGGUAGGGUAAAAGCCUACCAAGGCGAGGAUCGGUAACUGGUCUGAGAGGACGACCAGUCACACUGGGACUGAGACACGGCCCAGACUCCUACGGGAGGCAGCAGUGGGGAAUCUUGGACAAUGGGGGCAACCCUGAUCCAGCGAUGCCGCGUGAGUGAAGAAGGCCUUCGGGUCGUAAAGCUCUUUAGGCUGGGAAGAAGAUUGGUAGUUUAAGAGAUAAUCAAUUUGACUGUACCAGCAGAAUAAGCACCGGCAAACUCUGUGCCAGCCGCCGCGGUAAAAC